AAACUCUGGAGAAUCUCUUAAAUGAGUGCCGACGGUGCAAGGCGACCUUCCCCAAGCGGAAAGGCCACGCUGAAUCUCUCAGGCAAAUGGACAGAGACGG
rnacentral:ncRNA from 1 species